rnacentral:rRNA from 1 species
CGAACGCUGGCGGCAGGCUUAACACAUGCAAGUCGAGCGCCCCGCAAGGGGAGCGGCAGACGGGAGAGUAACACGUGGGAACAUACCUUUUGGUUCGGAACAACUGAGGGAAACUUCAGCUAAUACCGGAUAAGCCCUUACGGGGAAAGAUUUAUCGCCGAAAGAUUGGCCCGCGUCUGAUUAGCUAGUUGGUGAGGUAACGGCUCACCAAGGCGACGAUCAGUAGCUGGUCUGAGAGGAUGAUCAGCCUCACUGGGACUGAGACACGGCCCAGACUCCUACGGGAGGCAGCAGUGGGGAAUAUUGGACAAUGGGGGCAACCCUGAUCCAGCCAUGCCGCGUGAGUGAUGAAGGCCUUAGGGUUGUAAAGCUCUUUUGCCCGGGAAGAUAAUGACGGUACCGGGAGAAUAAGCCCCGGCUAACUUCGUG